rnacentral:tRNA from 1 species
GGAGCUAUGACUGAGAGGCUGAAGGUGACGCACUGCUAAUGCGUUAGUCGACAUAAAGUUGGCUCAUGGGUUCGAAUCCCAUUAGCUCCU